rnacentral:rRNA from 1 species
UGGGGAAUAUUGCACAAUGGGCGCAAGCCUGAUGCAGCCAUGCCGCGUGUAUGAAGAAGGCCUUCGGGUUGUAAAGUACUUUCAGCGGGGAGGAAGGCGAUAAGGUUAAUAACCUUGUCGAUUGACGUUACCCGCAGAAGAAGCACCGGCUAACUCCGUGCCAGCAGCCGCGGUAAUACGGAGGGUGCAAGCGUUAAUCGGAAUUACUGGGCGUAAAGCGCACGCAGGCGGUCUGUCAAGUCGGAUGUGAAAUCCCCGGGCUCAACCUGGGAACUGCAUUCGAAACUGGCAGGCUAGAGUCUUGUAGAGGGGGGGUAGAAUUCCAGGUGUAGCGGUGAAAUGCGUAGAGAUCUGGAGGAAUACCGGUGGCGAAGGCGGCCCCCUGGACAAAGACUGACGCUCAGGUGCGAAAGCGUGGGGAGCAAACA